rnacentral:rRNA from 1 species
AGGAAGGCAGCAGUGGGGAAUAUUGCACAAUGGGCGCAAGCCUGAUGCAGCGAUGCCGCGUGAGGGAAGAAGGUUUUCGGAUUGUAAACCUCUGUCAUCGGGGACGAUAAUGACUGUACCCGAGAAGGAAGCUCCGGCUAACUACGUGCCAGCAUCCGCGGUAAUACGUAGGGAGCGAGCGUUAUCCGGAAUUACUGGGUGUAAAGGGAGUGUAGGCGGGACUGUAAGUCAGAUGUGAAAUAUACCGGCUCAACUGGUAAACUGCAUUUGAAACUGCGGUUCUUGAGUGAAGUAGAGGUAAGCGGAAUUCCUAGUGUAGCGGUGAAAUGCGUAGAUAUUAGGAGGAACAUCAGUGGCGAAGGCGGCUUACUGGGCUUUAACUGACGCUGAGGCUCGAAAGCGUGGGGAGCAAACAGGAUUAGAUACCCUGGUA